rnacentral:misc_RNA from 1 species
GGAAGGAUCAUUAACACGAUUCUAAAAAUACCUUUAAACCUAGUGUGAACAUGUGAUUUGUCUUUUAACAUUUAUUUCUUGAUUUACACGAGUAGUAGACCUUGUGUCUAGUACUUGACUAAUCAUGAACAACUGCUAACAUUGGAUGUCUUGGUUCUCGCAACGAUGAAGAACGCAGCGAAAUGCGAUAAGUAAUGUGAAUUGUAGAAUUCAGUGAAUCAUCAAAUCUUUGAACGCAAAUGGCACUCCUAGGCAUUCCUAGGAGUAUACCUGUUUGAGAAUCAUUCUCGACCCUCACUUCUUUUACUUUAUUGUUAAGGGAGUGGUUAGUGAGCAUCAUGCUCUUCACAGGCAUGUUGCUUCAAGCAGAUAAUGCUUGGGAAAAAACCAGGCCAGAGAAAUAGGUGAGGUCGCAAGGCCAAACCACUAUAUUUCUCGCUUAGAGCCAGGACAUUUCUCAGUACAGCAUUUACCGUCAUAUUUUAACUAAUCAACACAUGAUCUCAAAUCAGGCAAGGCUACCCGCCGAAUUGAAGCAUCUCACUAAGCGGAGGAAAAGAAACUAACUAGGAUUCCCUAGUAACGGCGAGUGAAGCGGGAAAAGCUCAACCUUUCAAUCGGAGAGGCUUCCUCUUCGAGUUGUGGUCUAGAGAGGCGUUUUCGAGGGGAGUUCCAGGUAUAAGUCCCUUGGAAUAGGGCGUCAUAGAGGGUGACAACCCCGUAUAUGAUCUGGGCACUUUUCUCAUACGGAACGCUUUCGAAGAGUCGAGUUGCUUGGGAAUGCAGCUCUAAACUGGUGGUAAAUUUCAUCUAAAGCUAAAUAUUGGCGAGAGACCGAUAGCGAACAAGUACCGCGAGGGAAAGAUGAAAAGAACUUUGAAAAGAGAGUUAAAAGGGCCUGAAAUUGUUAGCAUGGAACCGAUUAAAACUGGGCAUGCGCCUUGGGAUAAGGUGAGGCUUUUGUGGGCUCCGGGCGGCCAUCGAUCGCAAGACGAUGGUUGUUUGUGGUUCUGCAAUGCCUUGUUUAUUUUCUCAGGGUGCGCGCCAACAUCAGUUCGGGUUUCAGGUGAAGGUUGCUGGGAAGGUAGGUUGGCCAGCAAUGGCUGACUGUUAUAGCCCGGUGGCACUACUGUUACCUUGACUGAGGUAUUCUUCAGUGCGCGCUUAGCUUGAGGUACUCUGCCUUGGUAUUUCUGGGAAGGAGGACAGCCUAGCUGUGCUCUGCCCAGGGGUGCUUACGUGGGGCCACUUUUCAUACGCGUGCUCUAGAUGUUGGCACAACGGUUUUAACCGACCCGUCUUGAAACACGGACCAAGGAGUCUAACAUAUAUGCGAGUAUUUGGGUGCCAAACCCAAGUGCGCAAUGAAAGUAAACUUAGGUGCGAGCCCUUGCUCUGCUUGGGUGCAGCAUCGACCGAUCUGGAGGUUUUCUGAAAGAUUUGAGUAAGAGCAUAUCUGUUGGGACCCGAAAGAUGGUGAACUAUGCCUGAAUAGGAUGAAGCCAGAGGAAACUCUGGUGGAAGUCCGUAGCGGUUCUGACGUGCAAAUCGAUCGUCAAAUUUGGGUAUAGCGGCGAAAGACUAAUCGAACCAUCUAGUAGCUGGUUCCCUC